GUCUUUGUGCUUUCAGCUUCUUUACAGUGCUGCCUUGUAGCAUUCAGGUCAAGCAGCAUUGUACAGGGCUAUGAAAGAACUAAGAA
ensembl:miRNA MIR103A2 microRNA 103a-2